UGUAGAGGCAACUGUCUCCACGCAUGCAAAAGCCCUGAAUGUAGAAUUUGCACACUUCAUGGAACUUGAAACCGCCAAGGUCACGGGAGUGUUCAAACUGGCACCCUUCGCCCUGGAAGACAGUUAACACAUUGAAUACCGGCGGUGCUCACGGAAUUAUGUCGUAGAAUACCAGCGUUCUAAGCCCUUUUUUACGUUUUUUUGUAGACUCACAGCUUAUUAUGUGAUAGGGCCACUGAAAUAUGUUAUGACUCGUUUGAAAGUGGAGACGCUGCCCUCUUAGUAGGUGAAAACUGUGUGUCUCUACGAGCUUUUAUUGCCGAGUAAACCCACGCUAAACCGAAGUGGGUAUCCAUGGAAUUCAGCUACAAUCGGAGAUAUUGAGGUUUUUGUGAAGGGUGCGCUUCUUCAGAAUGUGACGAGUUUGAAAGGGGAUGAGUUGGUUUUAAUCACAAUUUGGUGCAAGGUUAGCUCUGACACACAUCUUCCUGCACGUCAAGACACACCUCCUGCUCUAAACCACUACGACACCGGCAAUCAAUGCCCUUCGAAAUCCACGUUUUUCACACAGACUGAACACAAGCUCUUUGCACACAUGCAGAAGGUCGGACAUUUGCUAAAAUAGUUCCCGAUGACUCCCGAAAUAAUAGCCCAACAUUGACAACAAAUCCCAAUGAUAUGAUGCUUAGAUGUAGCCCAUCCGAUCCAUAUGUAGCCAUCUAUGCUAGCUUCUGGCUUUUCACAUACAGGAAGACAGUUCAACAUAGGAGUGAAUAAUCAAAUAAACUUAUCUGGUUGGCGAUCAAACUUCUAAAUCGGAGCGCAUUACUCCAAUUACAAUUCGGGUGCCAUUUUGAUCCAAGGAGCUGGUAAAGGUCUAGGUAGCAAGCCCAGAAAGUUCAAGAUACUCCUGGCACGAUAUACAAUGGUCUCUGUGUUUACCUAUUGCGUGAAGUCAGACACAAUACACGCUACCGAUCGUAGGCUACUAGGGAAACAACAACAUAGCACGAUUCACGAAUACGGCAGCACACCUCCUGCUCUGUCACACUACGACACCAGCAAUCGAUGCCCUUUGAAAUCCCCGUUUUUCACGUGGACUGAUCACAAACUCUUUGCACACAUGCAGAGGGUGAGACAUUUGCUUAAAUAGCUCCCGAUGACUCCCGAAAUAAUAGCCCAACAUUGACAACAAAUCCAAAUGAUAUGAUGCUUAGAUGUAGCCUAGCCCAUCCGAUCCGAAUCAUAUGCGGUGGCAGAUGGACACUCCCAACUGAGAUCGCUCCCGGACGUGUAGUCCCAGGUGUUUCUAUCACUCCCGGACGUGUAGUCCCACCCGGAUCGAUAGUCUGGCUAGUGGGAGCGAGCCGACAGGGGAGCGUCCUGCGUUGGGAGCGACAAUCAGGGAAUCAUGAUAUGUAGCCAUGCUAGCUUCUGGCUUCUCACAUACAGGAAGACACAGAAACUUAUCUUUUUGGCGAUCAAACGUCCAAAUCGGAGCGCAUUACUGCAAUCACAUAUCGGGUGCCAUUUGGAUCCAAGGAUCUGGUAAAAGUCUAGCAAGUCCAGAAAGUUCAAGAUACUCCAGGCACUAUACAAUGGUGUUUAUUGCGUGAAGUCAGAGACAACACAUGCUACAGUGACCGUACUAGGGAAAUCAAUGCAGGCAGCGCGAUAGGCGACAUGGGUUGGCAUCCAGACAUCUUGAUUCAAAGUCCAAGUGACUGUGAUGCAUGAUGGUCUUCUGGUCAGAUAAACACUAAUGAAAGGAGAACGACUGGAUGUUUCAUCAGAGAACUGUCCUUAUCCUUUCCCCACUGGCAUCUACUGUACGUAGUAGGGGCCUAUUUCUUGUUUGUUACAGGAUGUUAUGAAAUCAUCAGUUGUUUGUGUGUGAAAAGUGGAGGUGGUGCGACUUGUAUGGCAUGAUUUGACUGAUGGCUGCAUUAAAAUCCAGAUGAAUUCUUUUGA